UGAUACCGGCUUCACCAUGGCGGCGUUGGCUGAGUCUCUGUCGCUGGAGAGAGAUGUUGCCAGAGCGAUCGAACUGCUGGAGAAGUUACAGAGGAGUGGCAACGUUCCACCGCAGAAACUACAGACGCUGCAGCGAGUUCUUCAGAGCAAGUUCUGCUCUGCCAUCCGAGAGGUGUACGAGCAACUUUACGAGACCCUCGACAUCAGCGGCAGCCCUGAGAUCAGGGCACAUGCAACAGCCAAGGCAACAGUUGCAGCCUUUGCAGCCAGUGAGGGGCACGCACACCCUCGAGUUGUUGAACUUCCUAAAACAGAAGAGGGACUUGGCUUCAAUAUAAUGGGCGGUAAGGAGCAAAAUUCCCCAAUCUAUAUAUCCCGAAUUAUUCCUGGAGGAGUAGCAGACAGACACGGAGGUCUUAAACGGGGUGAUCAGUUACUCUCCGUUAACGGAGUGAAUCCAGUCAACCAUCAUAGGAACAGGAAGAGCCCACUCAGCCCCUUGAGCCUGUCCCACCGUUCAGUUAGAUCAUGGCUGAUCUAUGUCCUAAUUGUAUUUACCCGCCUUGGUUUGUGACUCUUCAUACCCUUACCCAACAAAAAGUAUAUCAAUAAAAGCAAAAUACUUCGGAUGCUGGAAAUCUGAAAUAAACAGAAAAUGCUGGAAAUACUCAGCAGGUCUGGCAGCGUCUGUGGAGAGGGAAAGAGAACGAGCGUUUUGAGUCAAAAUAUCACUCUUCUACAGAACUUAAGAGUGUGGAGGGAGAGCAGCACGAGAAGGCAGUGGAGUUGUUGAAGGCUGCUCAAGGCACGGUGAAAUUGGUGGUGCGAUACACGCCUAAGGUCCUGGA